AGAGUUUGAUCAGGGCUCAGGAUGAACGCUGGCGGUAUGCCUAACACAUGCAAGUCGUACGAGAGUUUUUAACUCUAGUGGCGGACGGGUGAGUAACACGUAAGAAUUUACCUUCAGGAGGGGGAUAACAAUUGGAAACAAAUGCUAAUACCCCAUAUGCUUUCGAGUGAAAUGGAUUUAUAUUUAUCCGCCUAAAGAGAAGCUUGCGUCUGAUUAGCUUGUUGGUAAGGUAAAAGCUUACCAAGGCGACGAUCAGUAUCUGGUUUGAGAGGACGAUCAGACACACUGGAACUNACACNCGGUCCAGACUCCUACGGGAGGCAGCAGUGGGGAAUUUUCCGCAAUGGGCGAAAGCCUGAGCGGAGCANAUACCGCGUGAGGGAAGACUGCCUAUGGGUUGUAAACCUCUUUUUUCAGGGAGGAACAAAAUGACGUGUACCUGAAGAAUAAGC
rnacentral:rRNA from 1 species